rnacentral:misc_RNA from 1 species
GAUGAAGAACGUAGCGAAAUGCGAUAAGUAAUGUGAAUUGCAGAAUUCAGUGAAUCAUCGAAUCUUUGAACGCACCUUGCACCCUUUGGCAUUCCGAAGGGUAUGCUCGUUUGAGUGUCAUUGUACUCUCACACUCUCUGAUCCUUUGGAUUCAGGGAGCGGUGGACUUGGGUGUUUGCUGCUUUCCUUGUGGCUCACCCGAAAUGUGUUAGUGCACCUCUUGGUUGGACAUAGAACGGCGUGAUAAGUGUCUUCGCCGGCACCUCGCAAGAGGGUGGCCAAUUGGGAGCUCUGUGCUUUCAAACCGUCUUCGGACAAUCUCUGACAACUUGACCUCAAAUCGAGUAGGACUACCCGCUGAACUUAAGCAUAUCAAUAAGCGGAAGA